CCCCCUUCCUGAAUAUACCACCCCCAGGAGUUCUGCCAUACCAGUGUGUGUUUCUCAGAGCUGUGGGUUGGUGUUGAUGGGGAGCUGGGG
rnacentral:pre_miRNA from 1 species